rnacentral:lncRNA from 1 species
CCCAGCUGAUUUUUCUAUACUGCGCUGUCUUCAUGUUUAUAAUUUGUGAGUGUUUACUGUUCCAGGCCAUAGAUAUAACCAUAGUUUGGUUAGUCAUUCUUGGGGUAUUUUGAGUUGACAUUUAUGUAAGCAAGACUACAAAGAACACAUUUGUAUUUGUAGCCUUUUCAUUCCUUGGGAUGUUUUCCCAAAGAUAAAUUCUUAUAAGUGACAAAUUAUAGACACUCCAUGGUAUUUACGGUAUUGGGACAUAUUAGUUUCUAGAAGUGUUAUGGCACAUUUCCAGCAACACCAGCAAGGUAACUUUGAGUUAUACUUAAUAUU